UGCUUCUCGCCCAUUUUCUCUCUCCCAUCUCAACUCCAAUUCUAAGUUUUUCUCUCUCAUUUUUUCUCUUCUCCUCUCUCUUUUCCCUUGAAACCUUAACGCUGCCACCUCUUUCUCAACCCUGUCUCCGGCUAGCCUAGCGAUCUUGCCGUCGAAAUGGGUGUUGAGGUUGAUUAUUUUUUCCUGAUAAGCUAUUGUUGUUUUGAGGUUGAUUAUGAAAUGGAUGUGUGCAGGUUUUCAAGUAUGUGAUUCACUAGGUGGAGGAACUGAAUCUGAAAUGGAUACCCUGAUAGGAUGAUGCUUACUUUCUCCAUUCUUAAUUCUCCCUUCUCCUAAGGUCUUUAACACGAUGGUGGAACCCUACAACGCUACUCUCUUUUUGGUGAUCUUAACAAUUUGAUAUUUGCUAUCAUGUAUGGUCUGGUGUCACAUGUUGUCUGAGGUUCCCUGAUCAGCUUAACUCCGAUCUUUAACUUUUUGUAGCAUGAUGAUAUUACCGAGGCUCGAGACUUUGUUGGUCAAGAAAUUGUAAGUGCAACAAAAUUUUAAUUAGUUUUUCUGUUUCAAAAUUAAAUUCUCUUCGAUUUUAUUUUUUAUUUCAC